UGGGAGAACCAAGAGAUCCGUUGUCGAAAGUUGUGUAUAGUUUGUUGGCCAGUGACGGUCCAGCCAAGUUCCACGUUCAUACUAACCAUUCGAGUUUGUAGCGAAGAAAGACCCCAAGAGAGGCCACAAAAAACUUCUCUGAAGCCUUUCUCCAAGACAGUGCACACGGGUUUGUGGAUGUAUAGUGGGUGUAGGCGGCCAGGGACACUUUUUGGCGUCCGUAUGGCCUGCCCAAAUCUUCACUAAUGAUCCUUCUGC
rnacentral:misc_RNA from 1 species